rnacentral:rRNA from 1 species
AACGAACGCUGGCGGCAGGCUUAACACAUGCAAGUCGAGCGCCCCGCAAGGGGAGCGGCAGACGGGUGAGUAACGCGUGGGAAUCUACCCAUCUCUACGGAAUAACGCAUGGAAACGUGUGCUAAUACCGUAUACGUCCUUCGGGAGAAAGAUUUAUCGGAGAUGGAUGAGCCCGCGUUGGAUUAGCUAGUUGGUGGGGUAAAGGCCUACCAAGGCGACGAUCCAUAGCUGGUCUGAGAGGGUGAUCAGCCACACUGGGACUGAGACACGGCCCAGACUGCUACGGGAGGCAGCAGUGGGGAAUAUGGGACAAUGGGUGCAAGCUUGAUCCAGCCAUGCCGCGUGAGUGAUGAAGGCCCUAGGGUUGUAAAGCUCUUUCACCGGUGAAGAUAAUGACGGUAACCGGAGAAGAAGCCCCGGCUAACUUCGUGCCAGCCGCCGCCGUAACAC